GAAGAUAGGAGCCUAACUUCCAUAUGCAACAAUGAGCAAACACAAAUGGCCUAACUACGUAGACGAUGCUUCCCCCUAAUGUCUGCUGAUAUUUUCCACGGAUUUACUUCAUCUCCUCAAAAUCCUCCCACCUUUUCCCAUCUGGAAAAUUAAAAUAUGUGUGAAUGGGCUCUUGAUGGAGUGAAGAGUGAAGUUCCAUUGUGAGGUCUUUUUAGUGCGGCACUGAGAUGGUGAGCUCUGAAGUUUGAGGGGCUGUUAGUUUCUGAAAUAAGCUUUAGUAUUUACUCAGUCAUAAUUCAAUUUUGCAAUCAACUGUCAACAAAACAAGAAAGACUUCACUGAUGUUACAGAGUAAAAUAUAAAUGUUUUCAUUCUUGAUGAUGUGAAGUAUGGAGGUGGACAAAGGGAAGGAAAGAGGCAGGAAAGGAUAAGGGUAGGGAUGUGAAUACAGCAGACUGGAAAAAAGGUAAAAAUAUUUCAUUAAAAAGAGAUCUGGGCAUUCCCAUCAUGCUCAGUGGGUUACAAACCCAGCCAGGAUCCAAGAGGAUGUGGGUUCGAUUCCUGGCUUUGCUCAGUUGGUUAAGGAUCUGGCGUUAGUGUGAGUUGUGGCGUAGUUCACACUGGAUCUGGUGUUGCUGUGGCUGUGAUGUAGGCCAGCAUCUGGAGCUCUAAUUUGACUCCUAGCCUGGGAACCUCCAUAUGCCAUGGGUGCAGCCCUAAAAAGCAAAAUAAUAAUAAUAAUAAUAAUAAUGUAGAAAAAGAUAUCUAAUAAAGAGAUAUAAUAGGCUCUAUUGGGGAAUGGGAAGAGGGUAAAGAAUAUUAAGCAUGUUAAAUACUUAAUUAUAGGAGUAAUUAUUUUUAAAGUUGCUAAGACAACAGAUAAUAUACUAAAUACUUAAAAGAUAAGUAUGGUAUUUGAAAAUGAAGAACUAAAAUUAGAGAUUACAUGAUUGUCUCUGAAAAGGAGUUUUGGGGUGGUGAAGAUUACUGGCUUUGUUUUAUGAUAAACAUUUUUGCACAUUUUGAUUGUUUAACCCUGCCGUCUAUUAUUUUGAUAAAAAAAUAUAGAUUACUUCUUCAAAGUUUCUUUUUGACUGUUUACACGCAGGCUUUUCUUUAUUGAAAUUCCUGCCUCAGCACAGCCUCCAAAUCUCCCCAGAUCCUGCUGCCCUUGGAGCACAGUCUUCCUUGAAUCCUCACAUCUCUCUCCUACUCUUUUUUCUUCUUUUUUUUUAGCAAGCUGCCCUUGUAAUGUUUGAUAACCUUAGGGUGGCAGCCCAAACUUUCCGGCAUAAUCUCAUGGAACACACGCAUUUACAUGCAUUAGGAUGUCAAUGCCUUGGUGAGAGACAGGGAUCAGAACAGGGCGAGACAGAGAAAGAACACCAUAAAUUGUUGCUGGUUAAAAAAGUCGAUGAAUUACGCAGGUGAAAACCAAGUUCCCUGUCUUCAGCACUAUGGACUGCAUUACUCAAAUGAGGGCCCUGCAGCCCACCGCUUCUCAAACUUGAGUGCAGUUAGCAACCACUUGGAAAGCCUAUUUAAAAGGAAUCUGCAAGAUUUGCUCCUAAGUCUGGGGAGUGGAGGUGGCGCCGGACCACAUGUGACAUGAUUUUUAGCCUGAUCUGUUUUUAACAUGAUCCCACGUGAUCCCAGGGAUGGUGGUCAUUGCUCCCCGCUCUGAAGAAUGCAGUCUAUCAGGCAAGCUCUGUUGUAUUUUUCCAGGAAAUACACAACAGCCUGCAUGUGUCCACAUUACGUUUAGAGUAAGAAGUAUCAUUUAAAUUCUCUUCUUUUCUGAAACUUAAUUUCCUUCUGGAUAGAUGAGAAACAGGACCGGGUAUAUGUGGAUCCGUGUCCACCGUCUUCUGUACAUGCCCUAUUGAACGUGUGAAAAACGGUGUUGGCGCCUUGGUCUCCCAAGAUGGUUUCCUCUUAAUUGUGUGUUGUGAUUAUUGCGGUUGUGUAAAUUUCCAUUGGCGUUUCUUUUUGGUGAAACUCGUUUUUCAAUCGUUUACAAGUCUAGGUCUUCAUUAAUACAAGCUAUGCCCACCUGCUACUCCAGCUGCUUGUUUCCAGCAUUUUGAAGGAGAAAAGAUCUUGGUGGGGGGAGGUUACAGGGGGUGUGUAGGGACUGGAGGAGUUUCUAUACUGACUGCAAUGGGGAAGGGGAAGCAGAAAAGCCAGGUGAAGUUUUCUGUCCCUGGGCGGCACUUAACACAUGGUAAUGCACAGAUACCUCUGCUUUUAUCUGCAGCUUGAAUGCAGGCAC
rnacentral:lncRNA from 1 species